UUUCACUUGCGUUCUGGUUAGGAUGAGUAUAUAUAAAGGCUGAAGGUAAAGCGACCGGAUGUCACGCUCAGCUGUUUGUAUUUUUGUCAGUAUUGCAUUGCUGUCACACGAGAGGUAUGUACUGGAGGUCAUUAUGCUUGGUCCUAUUAUUUGGUUUUAAUCAUUCUAAUAGUUGUUUUCCGUUUAGUAUAAGCUCUUGUGUAGUUGGUAUCUGUACCGCAGCAUUCUCUAUUAGAGGAUCGCAAACUUUUAGUCUCUGGUGAUUUACGUGGCAUUCCUUGAAUCGGGAGAUUGCAGGCUCAGCUGUGCUGCAGUUCCGAUAGCUUGUUUCCACACAAAAGCUCUCUUAGGCUGGCAUUUGUUGCCGUGGUGUCCUCGGCAUCUGAGCAUUACGAACGAUUGGUUCAUUUUGUAUUAGGGAAUCGCGGUGUAAUUGAGGCGUGUGCUUUUGAUCUGCGGCUUCUGUCACAAGUGGUUGAUGGGGGCGACGGAUUCGGCCGCGGAGUAUAUGCUGUGACCCAUGCAGGCUGGUGUUUGAGUUACCCGGCAUCAUGGCUUAAGGUCCUAACACUGCUGUUUUGCUUUUUGUUUAUUUUGGAUUCUUUUGCGUAGUUUAUUUCGUUUAGGUUAGUAAUUGGUGUAUUAGUUUAUCUUUGUCCUUUUUUUUGUGUGAUAUUUAAUCUUUUCUUGGUUUCUUUUCGUUUGCUCAUUACAACUUAUUGUUUGUUUUGCUUAUUCAUUGCAAGUUAUUAUUUGUUUUCGUUUGUUUAUUCAGUGCAAUUUAUUAUUUUCGUUUGCUUAUUGCAAUUUAUUAUUUGUGUUCUUUUGUUUAUUUAUUACAAUUUAUUAUUUGUCUUUUGCUUACUCAUUGCAAGUUAUUAUUUGUUUUCGUUUGCUUAUUCAUUGCAAUUUAUUAUUUUUGGUUUGCUUAUUGCAAUUUACUAAUUGUUGUCUUUUGUUUAUCAUUACAAUUUAUUAUUUGUCUUUUGGUUAUUCAUUGCCAUUUAUUAUUUGUCGUCUUAUGCUUAAUUCUUUUGCUUUGGGUAAAUGUUGAGUGGUUUUCUUUGGAAGUGUUUGAUUAUUUUGUCUGUAACUUGGGGCCCUGAGGAAGGCAGACUAAGACUGAGCAGAAAUAGCCUCCCCUAAUGUGGUGUGAAUUUGCAGUGAAUCUGUUUAGGUGUUGCAGUGAUUUGGUGCACGUGUGUAUUAGUAUUAUUAUUACUUACAAGCUCUGUUUCUAGUCUGCCUCCUGGUUGUUAUACUCCAGUUUCAGGCUUGUUCAUUUUCUGUUUGAUUAGUCCUUAUUUCGUGUCAGUGGUGUGCCGUGAUUUUGAUGAGUGCCCUUUUUAGGCAAGAUCUUUUUAACAUUUCUAUCUGAAUAAAGCUUUAUGAAUCUUUUUAAUACCAAUUAUCCACGUCUCUGAGUCCUCUUUUAGGGAGAGUGAACCUGUGGGCCUUUUCGGGUCCUUCCUGGGGGGGGGAUAUAUCCCAGGUGGCGUAGUCGUUGCUUUGGUAACCAUUAGGAUAAUUGCGUAUGCAGGUUAUUUAGUUUUUUUCUCGCCCCUUUGGCGUAUGUAUCGCCACAUUUUUGGCGUAGAGUCGGCAGGGCUUUCUUAACUUUUGACCUGAGGCGUGGAUAAUUUAUUGUAUGAGUGUGUCCUUGUUGUGGGGUGUGUGUUCUCUUUUUUUUUCUCUUUUUUUUUUUUUUUCUAGAAGCAAAACAGCAGUGUUCAUUGGUGAGCUGGGAACAUCCUUUUGUCGGGUACAAUUCCCCUGUUGCAGAAACACAACUAAAUUAUUGGUAGGUCCUUUUUUUUCUCUCUCU